rnacentral:lncRNA from 1 species
AGGAAAAGAAGGAAGAGAAAGAAAGAAGAGGAGGAAAGUGCUGCAGGACGGAGUUUGUACCUUACCCAUUUACGUUAUUUGCACGGGAACCAGGCACUGAAGCCAGACAUUGAAGACUACUUACCUCAAGUGUACAGCGGUCACGGCUCUCAGUCGACACGGUUCUAAGCCUUUCUUACUGGUUAAUCGUCGCUAGAUGGUUGUGCUAUUGUCUUGCAGCUGCUGAAGAGGGAUGUUUAGCAAGUUUUUGAACGUAUAUUCAGUAGCAGGCUACUUAGUCCGGACUGCUGAGAGAGAGGGAGAACACAGCCUUUAAUGGUCGGUCUCGGAGGCAACCUCUAACAAUGGGAUUUCAGAAGUACUGAAGAGUCUGCGACAAAAGACGAGGGAAGAGAGCAAGUCAGGAGAACAAAAGGAAAGGGUUGCAGGGAAGCUGGAGGCACUUUUCAAAAGGGGAUCAGUCCUUUCGGGCCCGGCAGGGGGUGUGCAUGCUGCCCCCUCAACUGGACAUCCUCUUUUGUGCCAGC